CCUACGGGAGGCAGCAGUGGGGAGUAUUGGACAAUGGGGGGAACCCUGAUCCAGCCAUGCCGCGUGUGUGAAGAAGGCCCUCGGGUUGUAAAGCACUUUCAGUGAGGAAGAACGCCUGGUGGUUAAUACCCAUCAGGAAAGACAUCACUCACAGAAGAAGCACCGGCUAACUCCGUGCCAGCAGCCGCGGUAAUACGGAGGGUGCGAGCGUUAAUCGGAAUUACUGGGCGUAAAGCGCGCGUAGGUGGCUUGAUAAGCCGGUUGUGAAAGCCCCGGGCUCAACCUGGGAACGGCAUCCGGAACUGUCAAGCUAGAGUGCAGGAGAGGAAGGUAGAAUUCCCGGUGUAGCGGUGAAAUGCGUAGAGAUCGGGAGGAAUACCAGUGGCGAAGGCGGCCUUCUGGACUGACACUGACACUGAGGUGCGAAAGCGUGGGUAGCAAACAGGAUUAGAUACCCCUGUAGUC
rnacentral:rRNA from 1 species